GAGGUGUUUACCAAUUAAAAUGAAAAUUAAAGCACAUCGAGUUGGUAGAACUGCGAGGGGUCGUGGCGGGAUGCGGAUCUGUCACUCAUGGUCCACCUCGGCGUCGGACAAACAGAAGAAGUGAGGAAUAUGUUUAGCAUUUCACAGCAGCGGUCACGGUGAUGAUGAGGCGAGCACCAGUGAUCUCCUUUCUCCUGCCCGCUCCGUGUGUCUGCUGGGCGGCGAUCAAGCGGGCAGGGCAGCGCUUUUCACGAGCGGAGAUAGCUACUACUUUUUUUUUUCGUAUCUCUGUUAUGCUAUUACACCAUUAAUUUAUACUAGCAUAUACUGUAUAUCAAGCGCUCCCUGAACGCAGUCUCUGGCUUACUGCCAGUCAAGCGCAAGCACGCUGCACCCGUCUAGAGUGAUAACGACGCUGAUCUGAUCAAGUCUUUCCGAGUCACAGGGCUCAAGUCCAAGUCAAGUCUCGAGUCAUUGCUGUCAAAGUCUAAGUCGAGUCUCAAGUCUUCUUUAAUUAUGUCGAGUCGAGUCGCAAGUCAUCAAAUUUGGGACUGGAGUCCGAGUCAAGUCUCGAGUCAUGUGACUCGAGUCCACACCCCUGGAAAUUACUAACUGCGAGUGUUUUUGUCAGGUUUACAGGGUUAAAUUCGUGAGGUGUAGAGAUGCAACGUAACCUGCGUGAAAGUUUCUAAUGCGGGUUCGAUUUCCUGAAAUAAGAUCCUCUGGCCUUCAUUCCCGCCGAGGCCUGGUUUUACUACGAGUCUGAAGCAGACACAUUCGGGCGGUUUUCUACUCAGAGGAGAGAAUUCAUCAAAUGAAUUGGCCCAGACUUCUGCAGUGUCAAGUGAAGGAAGCUCCUCUCAUAAGAUUGCAAACCUGGAGUCUGAUGAGCGUCAGUGAUGGAAGCCCUUCAAGAAAGGAGCAGAAUGCUGAAGAUGAAGCCAGAAUUAAGCCAAGUUCCUGGCUUUUCCCAAGACCUUCAAGGACACGAUUGACCUCGGAAUCAGCUGUAAAGGAGGAUGAAACCAAUGAUUAAGAAUGGGACAGUGAUAUUGCAUCAAUUUGUCUCCUUCAUUUGAUUCCACCAUCACCACAAGGCUGCAAGGGACCUGGAGAAAUGUCCUCCUAUCAAGCUGAAAAAUAUCUUCAAAAAGGCACUAAUAAGAACACCUUGAUUGCAUAGAAGAGACCACACAGCCAUACCUGCUCGCUGAUGGGACAACGAGGAACAGCAUUCAUGGAUGCUACACAACUGUCGACAAGUAUCUUGCUGCAGUCUUGUUCAAAGCUACCUGUCAUAUUUGUUAAUGUCUAGGUAAAUUUGAUGAUUUUAUGUGUUUUAUUAACUAUGUUAUGGUUCCGUGCAACACUUAAUGAAUGUGACUGACUAAUUAACCUCUACACAUCUGGUAUAUGCUUUAAAGUUGCCA